GUGCAGGCAUGGCGUGCUACAUCCCACCCAACCGUGAGAAGACGACGCUGAAGCUCGUUCUCCAGGGUGUCGAGAAGGAAGUUAAUCUGCUUCGCAAGCAGGAUGGUUCAGCCAUGGAGACCUCGGAUGGUUAUGUAUACCAGGCAUCAGGUAAGUGAGGCUAGCUGCAUGGUGGCGAGAAACACGUGGUUAGCUGUCAGAUGGAGUCUUAUUAGCGGUAGACUGCGAUUGUUGCUUGUUUCAGGUACCACUUGUAAUUCUGGGAUGUCGUGAUGUGCUGCUUAGACAUUUCAAAUGUUGGUCUUUGCCUUUGCAGACGAGCAAUGUGUCACUUUGCGGUUCGCGGCCAACUAUGAGGACUUGCCCACUCCAGCACAGCCUACGACGCCCGCUUCCGCCGCCGACAGUGACGAUAGGCACCCGCUAGCCACUCUUUCUGAAGCAUCCGCUGAAGACGUAGAACUCUGGAGUAGUCGGAAAACAAAGUUCUUCAUCUCCAAAUACUCGGAGAUGAAGGACUUAGUUGGAAGAAGUAGAGCCUUAAGAACGAGAAAUCUUUUGUGGCUAAAACUUGCGGAACAUGUGAACGAGGAGUUCAGCUGCAACCUCACUGCCACUCAAGUACAAGAUAAAUGGAAAUCGUUGGACCGUUCCUACAAAAAAUCAAAAAAAGAGAACAGUUCGUCUGGGCACCACCGUGUGAGCUGUGAACACGAGCAGCAAGUUGCAAUUGUUUCUUGGCCUGUUCAGUGUUUUAAUAAUUUGUGCAUCACACAGAGAGCUGGCUGACAUACUCGAGAAACAGCACAGUGUGAACCCCACAUUGCUGUUGGAGUCCGGAGCAACAAUCCUGUCAAGUGGAAACUCAGGGGGAAGCACGACAGAUGAACGGCCUGAGAACCUACCAGCGUCAACAGAGGGUGACAGAGCACCAAAGAGGAAGCGGAACAGCCGUUCUAAGCUUGCUCCCCUCUUAGAAGCUAUAGAAAAAAUUGGUGAGGCAAAAAAAAGCAAGAGGAGGCGAGAGCAGAGCAAUUUGAAGCUCGCAAGAAAUGGGAAGAGGCCAAGGCCAAGCGGCAUGAAGAACGCAUGGCUCAAUUUGACCGCUUAGCAGAUUUAUUUGCUAAGCAGCAAAGUACAUCUAGUCAACAAUAAAGUUGUGUUACAACAGCACUACAUGCUCCACUUUCAUUGCAAAGACAUUGCUCAUAUAUGGGGCACUAUAUUAAGAAAAACACUACUAUCACGACCCAUCGCAGAGCUUGAGAUAUCAGGCUAGCACUGCUCUUUGGCAAUAAACUCUCGGAGAGACCGGCUGUAGUCAGGCAGGCUGCAGUCGAAGUCGUCAUUGCCCACAUCUUCUUCCUGUGG